CUCUUUGGAAGAAUGAGCUGGUGCAAUCUUCUCAUUUGUAGGUGGGGAAGCUGUGGUGUAGGAGGGUGGCCUGCCCAGGGCCACACAGUGAGUUAGGGUCUAACCCCAGUCUUUGUCGCUCACCCUCAGCCACGUGUGGGCAGAGCCAUGACCAUGAAGGAGCAGACAAAAUCCUCCGUAUGGCUUGAUGCGCUUCCUAGCUUACUUUAGAUUUUUCUGAAGAGAAGGCAUCCUUUAGAUAUUUAUUUGUUGCUAAAGCCGUUUCUUGGAUUUUAAUUAAGUUACACUUGGCAACGGCCGGGCAUCUGUUUCCAGAGGCCUGUUUCACACAGAGGGUGUCAUUUUUUAAGACUUCAAAGUUAAAACACAAACAACACGCAGUCAUGAAGCCCCUCACUGAGCAAAGCUGCCAAACAUUGCCGCCCAGGCUGCUGACUCCUGCUGGGCAAGGCAGACCUGGGUGGCAACACUCGUCACUGUUGAGGAGGGCCAGCCUGCCGGAGUGCCUGGCUUCAAAAACCUGCAGGGGCCACAUGGCGUUGGAAGGUUGGGAGAGUCAUGAGCUGCCCCUGGGCCCUGAGGUGGAACCAGAGAACCCCAGUCUUUACCUCUCAUCCUUCAGACAGGCUGGGCAAGUCUGGUGGAGUGGGAAGUGGGUGCCAGUGACCCCCCCAGCAGCAGUUUCUUGGCUCAGACCUCCGCAGAGCAGCCCUCCCUGGCAGCAUCUGGCUGACUUCGGUCAGCUGGGUGUUCAUGGGCACCAAACUCACAGGCCUGUGGGGGUGGUGAGCACCAAGCCAGGGUGCCCUUGAGAGGCAACCCCCAAGACGGACCAGGAGCUAGGCAAUGCCCACCUUAGACAUCAGCAGGAGUGUGAGGAGGCCUCAUCUUCAAACAGGGUUCCCACGCUGUCCAGUGGUUUUGUUAGGGGGAGGGGAUGUAGCAGUUGCUUUCAUUACUUUUGCUAGUCUGCUUUGCUUUGGUGUCUUCCAAGCCUGAGCAGUGUGCCUCGGGCUCUUAACUGCGUAGUCCUCCCUCUCUAGCUGUGCUGAUGCUCUUGCCCCAGACUCUGCAGGGUGCCCACCUCGUCUGCAUUAUCUCUCAUUAGUUAUUCUUGGGGUACACACACACGCGUGCAGACUACUUACAACUACUUGAAUUUUCUCAAUUAAUAUUCAAUAUAUAUUGAAGUGGAAAUUUUUAAACCUAGUGUUUCCUGAAGCAUUUAACAUACCAAUUUCAUUAUUCAUCUCAUGAAUCUAGUUCAUUUAAAUGACCAUGUUCAAAGGUAGGGGGUUUAUAACUUAAGUCAUUAAAUUUCUUUAAUUAUCUUGAUGCAAUUUUAUAAAUUUAAAAAUUUAACAUAACCAGUGUUCUUAAGUUUAUAAAUACUCAUCCUAAAAAGCAGGACUUUCCCGGGUUCCUAAACAGUUCUUAAAAUUUAACAAACUGAUAAAUAUGAUGACUAUUAGUUCUCUGAAACAUUUCAAAACUUAGAAACUUGGCUGAAUCCACUUCCGGUGUUCUGCUUCAAAUCAUAAGCUUAAAAUCAGCUACUCAAUUACCCGUUUUAAGUGGGGAUUGGAAGGCCAGUCUGUUAGAUACUCUGAUACGCCUAAUUCUCCUGAACAUGACGUGACAAAUGUGUGAGAUACCAGAUUUCCAUAUGCCUCAGUGCACUCGCACUUUGCUCCAGGGCCGCCCUGCGUGACAGUGGCACUUUCAGGGCUAAAGGCACUGAGGAGCGAUGCCCCCCUCUCUGGAGCAGUCAAGCCCACUGGUGCCACUUCUGCUUUUGCACCCCACAUACCCCUCCAGCGGGGGGGUCUCAGUCCUGGUCUUCAAACUCCAUCACCAAACUCCUCCUCCCCUUCCGCCAUCCACGCAACUUCGUCACUGGCUUUUUGUUGUUGCUGCUUUUUUUUUUUUUCUGAGUUCUUUCCUAGUUCCUCUCACCAGGCCCCACGUCUUAUAGCUACUUAGUGGCACCUCCUUGGAUGCCAGGAUCCUGCAUCCUGGGCCAUGCUGAUGAGAAGAGUCACAGGGGGCUGGAGGGCAGCUCUUAGUGGCCACCUUCCUUGUGGUCCAGAAAUCCUGCCUCAGCAGUGCCGGCUGAUGAGUGUCUCUCCUCUGCUUGUAUCCUUCCAGUGACGGUGAGCUCACCACUAUUUUUUUAUUAUGAUAAAAUAUACAAAUAUAAAAUGCCGUUUUAACCAUUUUAGGUGCACAGUUCAGUGGCAUUAAGCACAUUCAUAUUGCUGUGCAACUAUCACCACUUUCCAUCUCCAGAACUUUUUCAUCGUCCCCAAACUGAAACCCUGUCCCCACCCAACACGAAUUCCCUCUUCCCCAGUCCCAGCAACCACCAUUCUACUCUCUGUCUCUGUGAAUUUGAGUACUUUGAAUAAUUAGAUACCCUUGGUCCCUCAUGUAAGUGGCCUCAUGCAGUAUUUGUCCUCUCGUGCCUAGCUUAUUUCUCUUAGUGGAGUGUCUUCAAGCCUCGCCCUUGUCAUGAGUGGUGUUGGCAUUUCCUUCAUCACCUGUUUUGAAAGGUUCUUUCCCCUGUUGAGCUGAGAAACACCUUGGGGGUCCUAUAGGAAGCAUUUCUGACUAGUAUAGCCCUGUCUCUGCGAGCAGACAGCAAAGGAGUGUGUGUCAUAUACCCACAGAGGCUCCGGGGCUGGUGGAGACAGCAAGUUGAUUUCUGGCAGUAAUGUCCUUGGUUGCCCACAGCUGUGCUCUUGGCUGAGGUCCACAGCAGUGGAAGAAGGGAGGAGUCCCGGCCCCUUGCCUUGAUCUCUUCUCCCUUUUGCCUGGUGUGCCCCUGGGGAAAAUGCCACCUCUGUCCUGAUCCAAUCUGGUGCAUUCAUUUCCUGGGGCUGCCGUAACCAAUGACCACCGGCUGAGUGACUCGGAACAAUAGAAACAUACUCUCUCAUGGUUCGGAGGCCAGAAGUCUGAGGGAGUUUCUGUUGAGCCAGGUUGUCUUCAGGUGUGUCAUCAACAUGAAGGAAUUCUCAGGGAGGCCAGAGCUCAGAAGAGAAACCACCUGUGUAUUCUGCUUUGGGGGAAACAUGUACUGGGUGACUUCCCUACGGCACAGAAAUACAGAGUGAAGGUGCAAGUCCAACUGUGGGGAGGCAUCGAGUGAGUGGCAGUGAGCAUGUACACUCCGUGCCAUUGCCUUGCACACAUGUGUGCAAA